AGAGUUUGAUCCUGGCUCAGAUUGAACGCUGGUGGCAGGCUUAACACAUGCAAGUCGAGCGGGGAAAGGUAGCUUGCUACCUGACCUAGCGGCGGACGGGUGAGUAAUGCUUAGGAAUCUGCCUAUUAGUGGGGGACAACAUUCCGAAAGGAAUGCUAGUACCGCAUACGCCCUACGGGGGAAAGCAGGGGAUCUUCGGACCUUGCGCUAAUAGAUGAGCCUAAGUCAGAUUAGCUAGUUGGUGGGGUAAAGGCCUACCAAGGCGACGAUCUGUAGCGGGUCUGAGAGGAUGAUCCGCCACACUGGGACUGAGACACGGCCCAGACUCCUACGGGAGGCAGCAGUGGGGAAUAUUGGACAAUGGGCGAAAGCCUGAUCCAGCCAUGCCGCGUGUGUGAAGAAGGCCUUUUGGUUGUAAAGCACUUUAAGCGAGGAGGAGGCUACUUAGAUUAAUACUCUAGGAUAGUGGACGUUACUCGCAGAAUAAGCACCGGCUAACUCUGUGCCAGCAGCCGCGGUAAUACAGAGGGUGCGAGCGUUAAUCGGAUUUACUGGGCGUAAAGCGUGCGUAGGCGGCUUCUUAAGUCGGAUGUGAAAUCCCUGAGCUUAACUUAGGAAUUGCAUUCGAUACUGGGAAGCUAGAGUAUGGGAGAGGAUGGUAGAAUUCCAGGUGUAGCGGUGAAAUGCGUAGAGAUCUGGAGGAAUACCGAUGGCGAAGGCAGCCAUCUGGCCUAAUACUGACGCUGAGGU
rnacentral:rRNA from 1 species